UGGGGAAUAUUGGACAAUGGGCGAAAGCCUGACGCAGCAACGCCGCAUGGGGGACGAAGGCUCUCGGGUUGUAAACCCCUUUCAGUGGGGACGAAUCAAGACGGUACCCACAGAAGAAGCCCCGGCCAACUACGUGCCAGCAGCCGCGGUAACACGUAGGGGGCAAGCGUUGUCCGGAUUUAUUGGGCGUAAAGAGCUCGUAGGCGGUUCGCUAAGUCGGGUGUGAAACCUCCAGGCUCAACCUGGAGACGCCACCCGAUACUGGUGUGACUCGAGUCCGGUAGGGGAGCGUGGAAUUCCUGGUGUAGCGGUGAAAUGCGCAGAUAUCAGGAGGAACACCAGCGGCGAAGGCGGCGCUCUGGGCCGGAACUGACGCUGAGGAGCGAAAGCGUGGGUAGCAAACAG
rnacentral:rRNA from 1 species